GACGUAGGACGCAAGCGUUAUCCGGAGUUAUUGGGCGUAAAGAGCUCGUAGGCGGUGUGUCGCGUCGGCCGUGAAAACCUGCAGCUUAACUGUGGGCUUGCGGUCGAUACGGGCAUCACUGGAGUUCGGUAGGGGAGAUCGGAAUUCCUGGUGUAGCGGUGAAAUGCGCAGAUAUCAGGAGGAACACCGGUGGCGAAGGCGGAUCUCUGGGCCUUACCUGACGCUCAGGCACGAAAGCUAGGGGAGCGAACAGG
rnacentral:rRNA from 1 species